UUCAAGUACUAAACUAAAUCCUAAUCUUGGCCCAAAUUGGUGAAGCCCAAAUAAAUAAACCCAUACUUCCCUCUCAUUGCUUUUCACGUAAAACAAAAAAAAAACAAAAAAACUCUCAUACCCAUAACUCACUCCUCUCAUGAAACUCUCUUGUGAAACUCUCACCCUCAGAACCCCAAAACCUCUCACUGAGUUCUUGUUGCGCCGUAGCCGUCGAGCCGCCGCCGUCGGCAUCCCUGUUCCUCCACCGUUCGUCUGCCACCACCGAGGACCAUCAGCCACCUUCAUCGUUCCCCUGCACGCUGCGCCGCACCACCCGCAUAGCCGCUGCUGCCCUGCCCAGUCGGCCUCCCUCCUUCUCCUCCACGCACACAAGCAGCCUUGCCUCUCUUCUGUGUUUCUUGCUCGAACACGCAACCACCAUUGCCGACCACCGCGUCGCCCAGCCCUGCCGCCGCCAGGCCCGCUGCCGUGUGUUGUUUGCCGCCGGCCAGCACUUCCUCUUCCUCUCUCUUUGGCGGAUAAUUCUUUGUAGGCGACUUUUGAAAGUGUUAAAGUGGCCUAUUAUUUGUUUACACAAGUCUCUAGGGAUCAAUAAGCAUCGUCCAUUACAGGUUUGAAGGUGAUGCAUCAUGGGGUUCGGGAUUGAGGAGUUGUGUAGUUAUUAAAUUGUUUUGUUUUAAGUUUGAUGUUGAAUUUGUUUGGCCUGUUUUAAAGAGACUCGAACUUUGUUUUAAUUAAUUACGUUGACUU